UACAGAGGUGGCAAGCGUUGUUCGGAAUUACUGGGCGUAAAGGGCGCGUAGGCGGCCUUCUAAGUCAGAUGUGAAAUCCCCGGGCUUAACCUGGGAACUGCAUUUGUGACUGCAAGGCUGGAGUGCGGCAGAGGGGGAUGGAAUUCCGCGUGUAGCAGUGAAAUGCGUAGAUAUGCGGAGGAACACCGAUGGCGAAGGCAAUCCCCUGGGCCUGUACUGACGCUCAUGCACGAAAGCGUGGGGAGCAAACAGG
rnacentral:rRNA from 1 species